rnacentral:misc_RNA from 1 species
CUGGUUUUACGUGGCGUUGGGGAAAUUAUCUCUUCAAGAACCUGUCCCAAGUUACCGUCAAGUUUUUUGGCAUAUUGUUAUUGAUGCAUGAGGAUGGUUUCUUGCUAAUUUAUUUUGCAUGGAAAAUAACAGAAGUUUCCAGAUGGACCAUGCAAUACAACUAUUUAAAUUUAAUGUUUAACUUCUAUGUAUGGAACUUAGCAUAUUUUUACUCCAUUGACUUUGCUUUCUCCUAUGUUAGGUACUUUUGCUGAAUGGCACACAUGAUCGAGAGACCAGUGGCUUCUCUGCUUCAUGCUUUGUAACUACC